GAACCUGCUGCAGCAGAGUGACCUGCUUCCUGCAGAAGGUGCAAUCUGCAGGUGUGAACUCACCUGUGGCCUGCCUUGAGCGAACAGGCCACCAUGCUAGAUAAAAUUUCUUUAAGGCACCUGAGAGAAUGAGAAAGAACACCUCCAGAGAGCAGCCUGCUGAUAGAACCUACGCCUAACAAUAUGAUUAAAAGCAUGAAACUGCAUGGGGAAACACAAGAAGGCUUGUCUCUGCAGACAGGCAAGGUGAGGGCAUGAAGAUGUAUAACUGUCCCAGGUGGGAGAAGAGUACAGCUUACCCCCUCAGGAUUUGAAUCAGGAAACUGAAAUGCAUCCUGAAAUUUACUUUGCCCAGAGGUCUAGGAAAGCUGGAGCAAGUGGGAAAAGCUUCUUUCUACAUAAAUGCAGUUGACCAGAGGAGCAGCAUUCAUUAGAAUCUGAAUGAGAAGAGAGAAGGGGAUAUAUAGCAAUUUAUGGGUUGUAAGGUGUCUGACCCUUACUCUUCUACCACAGGAAAAUCUUGGAUUUCUUAUAGAGAAACUAUGAACAACUUAUGUAUAAAUGGAAAAACAGCACUUCAGUUGUUCAAGAAAACCAGCAUUGUAAUACAGAAGGCAAUGAAUGAAGGACUCCUUUUUUCUGCAUGCUCAUAGAAUACGUGAGCUCUGCUGUCCUCAAAUUGCUCUCCAUUUAGAUGCACCGUGCAGGGGAUCUGGGUCGUGCAGCACCCACUGACUUGGAGCAGGGGGGAUGUUGGAAAUCCCUUCUGAGGCAACCCCUACUCCAAACCCACCUCCAGUUCCAGGCCUUAUCAAUUCCAGGCCUUAUCACAGCUAUCAUGGGAUUAAUAAGAUACAUUGUCCCCAGGAAAAUAUGUGCGCUCAUGGAGAACCUCAUUGACAUUGCUGCAGAGAGAGACUCUGUUUAUUGGCCCUGGGGGCUGACAAGAAACUGACACCUGUGCCCAAACAUUUUCCAAACCUUGGCAUCAACAGGCACAUUCAUUAUGCAGCAGAGUUGUAGAUCCAUGUGUCCUCAAGGCAGAGGAGAGCAGCAGACUUUACCCUUGCAAGGAAGAGCAGGCAGCUUGUCUGAUCUUGGCAUUAUUUCCAAACUUGGAAGACAGAAAAGGAUGAGACUGAGAGCAUACUGAGAUUCACAGUGGCAGGAAACAGAGUGAAUAUGUGAAGAGUGAUAAAGGUGAUCAGGCUUCUGGAGCAGCUUCCAUAUGAUGAAGGAAAUUUGACAAUCUUCAGCCUGGAGUAGAAUCAACUGACAAAGAAUUUGAUAGAGAUUUACAGGACUGGGAAUGACAGGAAAAGGUGCUGUGCAGCCUGGGCACUUGGACUCAUCUUCUCUGCCAGGUGCUUGUUCAGCUGCUUGUUCCAGCCUGAAGAAGAGCCUGAACACAAAUUGGCAGAAUCUAUGCAGCAAGGCUCUGAAAACCAUCUCCAGUGAUCCAGAAAGCCUCAUAGCAAGCAGAAGAAGUCCUGCUCCUUGUCACUGUGAUUAUGGAGAUGCAGGAAGCAGGGAAGAAGAAGGAGCAACAAAUACGAGCCUUUGAAAGCUGGUAUUUAUGGUCUUGUGCUCCAAACUGUAAACAUGAGAGUAAGAAUUUCUUCUUUGAGGUGGGUCCAAAAUCAGUUGACAUUUGAACAGUUAUUUAAUUCUGCAUUUUUCCUUUUUCACAACUGUCUUGAUGUUCAUCAAAUAGCUAAAAUUCAGAAGGUGAUGAAAAUUGUGGACCUUAUUUUUGCUAAGUCAUAUGAAAAAUGCCCACUCCAGGAGACUGACUCGAUUUUGAAACUAAUAUUUCUGAUUAUUUUCUAUAUUUUAAAAUAAUUAUUGGGAUU